GAUGAAGAACGUAGCAAAGUGCGAUAACUAGUGUGAAUUGCAUAUUCAGUGAAUCAUCGAGUCUUUGAACGCAUCUUGCACCUGCUGGUAUUCCAGCAGGUACGCCUGUUUCAGUAUCAGAAACAACUCUUCCCCUAAGAUUUUUUUGAAUCAUAGGGGGACAUUGAGGGUAUCUGGCUUAGAAGUAAAAUCUCUAGCCCGGAGACGCUUUAAAUGACUUAAGGCCUGCAAGCCAAAGUUUGAUUGCGCCUGAACUUUUUCUUAAUUUCAAGCGAAAGCUCUUGCGAACUAGAACUUUAUUAUUGCCUUGGGGGCCUCCCAAAGAAAACUUUCAACAACUUGAUCUGAAAUCAGGUGGGAUUACCCGCUGAACUUAAGCAUAUCAAUAAGCGGAGGA
rnacentral:misc_RNA from 1 species